rnacentral:rRNA from 1 species
GAUGAACGCUGGCGGCGUGCCUAAUACAUGCCAGUCGAGCGAACAGAUGAGGCGCUUGCUCCUCUCACGUUAGCGGCAGACGUGUGAGUAACACGUGUAUACCCUCCCUAUCUUACUGGUAUAACCUCGGGACACCGGCUCUUAUCCCGUAUAAUCUCUUGCACCGCAUUGUUCAAUAGUAAAAUACGGCUUUUCUGUCAGUUAUCGCUGCUUCCGCGCCGUAUUAGCUAGUUGUUACGGUAACGGCCUACCAAGGCAACGAUGCGUAGACGACCGGAGAGGGUGAUAGGCGACAUGGGAAGUGAGACACGGUCAAGACGACUACGAGAGGCAGCAGUAGGGAAUGUGCCGCAAUGGGCGAAAGCCUGACGGAGUAAGGCCGCGUGAGUGAUGAAGGUCUUCGGAGCGGAAAACUCUGUUAUGAGGGAAGAACAAAUGUGGAAGGAAAUAUGGAGGUAGUGACGGUAACUAAUAAGAAAGCCACGGCUAACUACGUG